UACGAAGGGUGCAAACGUUAUUCGGAAUCACUGGGCGUAAAGGGUGUGUAGACGGCAUGCUAAGUUCGUUGUUUAAUCUUCCGGUCUAACCGGAAGCUCGCGAUGGAAACUGGCAAGCUAGAGGAUGGAAGAGAGAAGUGGAAUUCUCGGAGUAGCGGUAAAAUGCGUAGAUCUCGAGAGGAACACCGAUGGCGAAGGCAGCUUAUUGGUCCACUCCUGACGUUGAGACACGAAAGCGUGGGUAGCAAACAGG
rnacentral:rRNA from 1 species